rnacentral:tRNA from 1 species
GGGCGUGUAGCUUAGUUGGUAGAGCAGAUCCCUCUUAAGGAUAAGGUCGUGGGUUCGAAUCCCACCCCGCCCA